CCUACGGGCGGCAGCAGUGGGGAAUAUUGGACAAUGGGCGAAAGCCUGAUCCAGCCAUGCCGCGUGUGUGAAGAAGGCCUUCGGGUUGUAAAGCACUUUCAGUGGGGAAGAAAGCCUUGGGGCUAAUACCCUCGAGGAAGGACAUCACCCACAGAAGAAGCACCGGCUAACUCCGUGCCAGCAGCCGCGGUAAUACGGAGGGUCCGAGCGUUAAUCGGAAUUACUGGGCGUAAAGCGCGCGUAGGCGGUCUGAUAAGCCGGUUGUGAAAGCCCCGGGCUCAACCUGGGAACGGCAUCCGGAACUGUCAGGCUAGAGUGCAGGAGAGGAAGGUAGAAUUCCCGGUGUAGCGGUGAAAUGCGUAGAGAUCGGGAGGAAUACCAGUGGCGAAGGCGGCCUUCUGGACUGACACUGACGCUGAGGUGCGAAAGCGUGGGUAGCAAACAGGAUUAGAUACCCGGGUAGUC
rnacentral:rRNA from 1 species